CAGUCGCCACGGUAAUACAGAGGGUGCAAGCGUUAAUCGGAAUUACUGGGCGUAAAGGGCGCGUAGGUGGUUGUGUAAGUGAGAUGUGAAAUCCCCGGGCUCAACCUGGGAACUGCGUCUUAUACUGCAUAGCUUGAGUACAAUAGAGGGUAGUGGAAUUUCCGGUGUAGCGGUGAAAUGCGUAGAUAUCGGAAGGAACACCAGUGGCGAAGGCGGCUACCUGGAUUGAUACUGACACUGAGGCGCGAGAGCGUGGGGAGCAAACAGGAUUAGAUACCCCUGUAGUCCCUGUCUCUUAUAC
rnacentral:rRNA from 1 species